UACAGAGGUGGCAAGCGUUGUUCGGAAUUACUGGGCGUAAAGGGCGCGUAGGCGGCCUACUAAGUCAGACGUGAAAUCCCCAGGCUUAACUUGGGAACUGCGUCUGAUACUGGAAGGCUUGAGUGCGGGAGAGGGAUGUGGAAUUCCAGGUGUAGCGGUGAAAUGCGUAGAUAUCUGGAGGAACACCAAUGGCGAAGGCAGCUCGCUGGGACGGUACUGACGCUGAGACGCGAAAGCGUGGGGAGCAAACAGG
rnacentral:rRNA from 1 species